rnacentral:rRNA from 1 species
AGGACGAACGCUGGCGGCGUGCUUAACACAUGCAAGUCGAACGAUGAACCACUUCGGUGGGGAUUAGUGGCGAACGGGUGAGUAACACGUGGGCAAUCUGCCCUGCACUCUGGGACAAGCCCUGGAAACGGGGUCUAAUACCGGAUAACACUCCUCCACUCCUGUGGGGGAGUUAAAAGCUCCGGCGGUGCAGGAUGAGCCCGCGGCCUAUCAGCUUGUUGGUGAGGUAAUGGCUCACCAAGGCGACGACGGGUAGCCGGCCUGAGAGGGCGACCGGCCACACUGGGACUGAGACACGGCCCAGACUCCUACGGGAGGCAGCAGUGGGGAAUAUUGCACAAUGGGCGAAAGCCUGAUGCAGCGACGCCGCGUGAGGGAUGACGGCCUUCGGGUUGUAAACCUCUUUCAGCAGGGAAGAAGCGAAAGUGACGGUACCUGCAGAAGAAGCGCCGGCUAACUACGUGCCAGCAGCCGCGGUAAUACGUAGGGCGCAAGCGUUGUCCGGAAUUAUUGGGCGUAAAGAGCUCGUAGGCGGCUUGUCACGUCGGGUGUGAAAGCCCGGGGCUUAACCCCGGGUCUGCAUUCGAUACGGGCUAGCUAGAGUGUGGUAGGGGAGAUCGGAAUUCCUGGUGUAGCGGUGAAAUGCGCAGAUAUCAGGAGGAACACCGGUGGCGAAGGCGGAUCUCUGGGCCAUUACUGACGCUGAGGAGCGAAAGCGUGGGGAGCGAACAGGAUUAGAUACCCUGGUAGUCCACGCCGUAAACGGUGGGAACU